rnacentral:rRNA from 1 species
GGAAACAUUUUAUUGAAGCUUCGGCAGAUUUAGCUUGUUUCUAGUGGCGGACGGGUGAGUAACGCGUGGGUAACCUGCCUCACACUGGGGGAUAACAGUCAGAAAUGGCUGCUAAUACCGCAUAAGCGCACAGCAUCGCAUGAUGCAGUGUGAAAAACUCCGGUGGUGUGAGAUGGACCCGCGUUGGAUUAGCUAGUUGGCAGGGCAGCGGCCUACCAAGGCGACGAUCCAUAGCCGGCCUGAGAGGGUGAACGGCCACAUUGGGACUGAGACACGGCCCAGACUCCUACGGGAGGCAGCAGUGGGGAAUAUUGCACAAUGGGGGAAACCCUGAUGCAGCGACGCCGCGUGAAGGAAGAAGUAUCUCGGUAUGUAAACUUCUAUCAGCAGGGAAGAAAAUGACGGUACCUGACUAAGAAGCCCCGGCUAACUACGUGCCAGCAGCCGCGGUAAUACGUAGGGGGCAAGCGUUAUCCGGAUUUACUGGGUGUAAAGGGAGCGUAGACGGUGUUGCAAGUCUGAUGUGAAAGGCGGGGGCUCAGCCCCUGGACUGCAUUGGAAACUGUGAUACUCGAGUGCCGGAGAGGUAAGCGGAAUUCCUAGUGUAGCGGUGAAAUGCGUAGAUAUUAGGAGGAACACCAGUGGCGAAGGCGG